UCCCUGGUAGUAUAUCGGUUAGUACACGCGCCUGUCAUUGUUCAUGUAACGCGCGAAAGCGGGGUUCGACUCCCCGCCAGGGAG